rnacentral:rRNA from 1 species
CCUACGGGUGGCUGCAGUGGGGAAUAUUGCACAAUGGGCGCAAGCCUGAUGCAGCCAUGCCGCGUGUGUGAAGAAGGCCUUCGGGUUGUAAAGCACUUUCAGCGGGGAGGAAGGCGGUGAGGUUAAUAACCUCAUCGAUUGACGUUACCCGCAGAAGAAGCACCGGCUAACUCCGUGCCAGCAGCCGCGGUAAUACGGAGGGUGCAAGCGUUAAUCGGAAUUACUGGGCGUAAAGCGCACGCAGGCGGUCUGUCAAGUCGGAUGUGAAAUCCCCGGACUCAACCUGGGAACUGCAUUCGAAACUGGCAGGCUAGAGUCUUGUAGAGGGGGGUAGAAUUCCAGGUGUAGCGGUGAAAUGCGUAGAGAUCUGGAGGAAUACCGGUGGCGAAGGCGGCCCCCUGGACAAAGACUGACGCUCAGGUGCGAAAGCGUGGGGAGCAAACAGGAUUAGAUACCCCAGUAGUC